rnacentral:rRNA from 1 species
CACUGCCAUACUACCCUGAACGCGCCCGAUCUCGUCUGAUCUCGGAAGCUAAGAUGUGGCCGCAUUUAGGACCCCACCGGCUUGGCUGUGC